CUCAGAUGCUGGUAAGCAAGGUUAUACUCUGAGACUGAAGACUGGAAGAUUCCUUUGACAGCAAGAUGGAGUCACUCAUGUCAAGUGGUAGUUCCUGCCAAGCAGCGACGCAAACAGCCACGGACACUGCAGCUAACACCAGAUGUCUCCAAAACCAGCCCAGGCUGAAGACACUCAAAACUGAUAACCCACAGAACAAGAGGAGGCCUACAAAGGUGCAAGAUUGAUUAAACUCCUUUAACUUUUUAGGGGAGAACUUUCGCAGCAACUGUCAGACUCUCCAGGUGCUGACCCUUCCACUUGUGACCAUAUCACAAAGGCAACUGCCACUGAAGGCCCUGCCCAAGUGAUUGCUGACCACAGCAGACCCUCCACUGCUUGAACAUAAUAAGCAGUGAGUGACAAGGGCUGACCCAGACCAAAUCGAGACCGUGUUUCAGUCAUGUGCUCAUGGACUGACUUCAUAAUUUGGUUAACUUCCUACCCCUGAUUAUAUCUUGUUGGUUAUGUAA